AUGAUCCUCAAUGCCCAGAAAGAAAAUCUGUUUAUUGGGCUCGCUCCAGACCUGAUAGAGGGUGGGGUGGCCAUAUUACAGUAUGCGGAUGACACGGUCAUUUGCUUCGAGCAUGACAAAGAUGCAGCUAUAAACCUUAAGCUCCUUCUGUACAUGUUCGAGCUUAUGUCAGGUUUAAAAAUUAACUUCAUGAAAAGUGAGAUUAUGUGUGUUGGGGGAGAUGAUGAGACAAUUGCCUUCUACUCCGAGCUGUUUAAUUGCAACAUUGGACAUUUCCCCAUGAAGUACCUGGGUGUACCAGUCAGCUAUUCCAUCUUGCGUAGUCUAGACUGGGAUUUCUUGGAUGAGAGAUUUCUCAAAUGUUGUGAAACCUAG
rnacentral:rRNA from 1 species